GGGGGGGGGGGGGGGGGGGGGGGGGGGGGGGGGGGGGGGGGGGGGGGGGGGGGGGGGAGGUCUGGGGGUCCCUGAGAACUGGGAAUGUCCCAGGAGGGAUGGGUGGGGGUCCCUGGGAACUGGGAUUGUCCUGAGGGGGGUCUGGGGGUCUCUGGCAAACAGGAAUGUCCCGGGGGGAUGGGUGGGGGUCCCUGGAAAGCAGGGGCGUGCUGGGGCUGGGUGGAUGGGGGUCUCCAGCGUUCAGGGUUGUCCUUUCCGGGCUGUGCCCAGCCCCGGGGUGUCCCCUGUGCCCCCCCAGGUGCCCUCGGUGCAGGACACGGUGCAGGAGCACCUGGGGCAGGUGAGGACGGGCGGGGCCCAGGCCGUGCCCGACCGGGACCGCGCCGAGCUCAAGAGGAGGAAGCUGCUCCUGGAAGUGACCCUCAAGUCGUUUUGGAUCCGCAAGGGCAGCGCCUUCAGCACGGCGCUGGCGCGGCCGGAGACGGAGCUGACCCCGGAGAUGAUCGCCACGUACGUCCCGACCCCCGACCCCCCCAGGAGAGCCCCUGUGACCUCGGCACGGCCGGGUCGUGACCCCUGACCCCCUCCCGCAGCGGCUCCUGGCGCCGGCUGCCCUUCAAACCCUACAACUUGUGACCCAUGGGGAGGGUCUCUGUCCUUGUGUGAUCCAUUCCCAUAAUGAAGUCGCGAUGUCCCUCACCCUGU
rnacentral:lncRNA from 12 species